AAGUGUUACAGCUCUUUUAGAAUUUGUCUAGCAGGUUUUCCAAUUUUCUCUAGAAAACUCCU
rnacentral:snRNA from 1 species